GCACAACAAAUAUCAUAGAAAGUAAUAUUUUUAAGAGCGAUAGUCACUAAAGGAAACAGCAUGGCAUUAACGACAGACAAUGUAAUCUUCCCUAGAAGCCAAAAACCAAAGCUACCUUCAGUGGAAAAAACCUUGUCAAAGACUUUUAGAGGCUUGAGAAAUGAAAGAAAACAAGCACAACAAAUCCCCAUAACUCCCCCUAUCCAGGCCAGGGAAUAACCAAGAUGGAGGAAGAAAACAAAACUAUACACCCAUCAACAAACAUUUCCUUGCUUGAAAGCUAGGUAAAAACAAAUCAACACUAAAUGAGGAAACCAACAACAAACAGAAACAAGAAAACGACGUGAAGAGGACUGACGGACCUUCAAUUCGUUGCCGAUAUCCAUUGCCCAGUUGGCUGUUCUCUUCUUUGCUUUUCCCUUUCCUUCUAUUUAAAGCCAAC
rnacentral:lncRNA from 1 species